rnacentral:rRNA from 1 species
UACGUAGGUCCCGAGCGUUGUCCGGAUUUAUUGGGCGUAAAGGGAGCGUAGACGGCCUUGCAAGUCUGGUGUGAAAGCCCGGGGCUCAGCCCCGGGACUGCAUUGGAAACUGCAUGGCUGGAGUGCAGGAGAGGUAAGCGGAAUUCCUAGUGUAGCGGUGAAAUGCGUAGAUAUUAGGAGGAACACCAGUGGCGAAGGCGGCUUACUGGACUGUAACUGACGUUGAGGCUCGAAAGCGUGGGGAGCAAACAGG